GGUCGGAUGGUGUAGUUGGUUAUCACGUCAGUCUAACACACUGAAGGUCCCCAGUUCGAGCCUGGGUUCGAUCA